CAAGCAGCGGAGCAUGUGGUUUAAUUCGAAGCAACGCGAAGAACCUUACCUAGACUUGACAUCUCCUGCAUUACUCUUAAUCGAGGAAGUCCCUUCGGGGACAGGAUGACAGGUGGUGCAUGGUUGUCGUCAGCUCGUGUCGUGAGAUGUUGGGUUAAGUCCCGCAACGAGCGCAACCCUUAUUGUUAGUUGCCAUCAUUAAGUUGGGCACUCUAGCGAGACUGCCCGGGUUAACCGGGAGGAAGGUGGGGAUGACGUCAAAUCAUCAUGCCCCUUAUGUCUAGGGCUACACACGUGCUACAAUGGUCGGUACAAUAAGACGCAAGCCCCGCGAGGGGGUAGCAAAACUGGAAAACCGAUCUCAGUUCGGAUUGUAGGCUGAAACUCGCCUACAUGAAGCUGGAGUUUGCUAGUAAUCGCGAAUCAGCAUGUCGCGGUGAAUACGUUCCCCGGGGCCUUGUACACACC
rnacentral:rRNA from 1 species